CCUACGGGCGGCAGCAGUCGAGAAUCAUUCACAAUGGGGGAAACCCUGAUGGUGCGACGCCGCGUGGGGGAAUGAAGGUCUUCGGAUUGUAAACCCCUGUCAUGUGGGAGCAAAUUAAAAAGAUAGUACCACAAGAGGAAGAGACGGCUAACUCUGUGCCAGCAGCCGCGGUAAUACAGAGGUCUCAAGCGUUGUUCGGAAUCACUGGGCGUAAAGCGUGCGUAGGCUGUUUCGUAAGUCGUGUGUGAAAGGCGCGGGCUCAACCCGCGGACGGCACAUGAUACUGCGAGACUGGAGUAAGGGAGGGGGAACCGGAAGUCUCGGUGUAGCAGUGAAAUGCGUAGAUAUCGAGAGGAACACUAGUGGCGAAGGCGGGUUCCUGGACAUUAACUGACGCUGAGGCACGAAGGCCAGGGGAGCGAAAGGGAUUAGAUACCCCAGUAGUC
rnacentral:rRNA from 1 species